rnacentral:misc_RNA from 1 species
GUGAAUCAUCGAAUUUUUGAACGCAAAUUGCACUCUCCUCGGAGAGUAUGCCUGUUUAGGGUCAGCCUUUAAAAAUCGACAUCGUUGCUGUUUCGCGGUGGCGUUCGUCGGGAAUUUGGGCAUCUUUAAUCCUUUUUAUUUAAGCGACUUAAAAUUUUCUUUUGGUUCCAUGAGCGUUUCUAAGGUCUAUUUCUUUACACGUUUAAGGUUUCGAUUUUUACUAGACGUUACCAUCAAUUCGGAUCG